rnacentral:rRNA from 1 species
CCCUUAGAUGUUCUGGGCUGCACGCGCGCUACACUGAUGCGCUCAACGAGUUUUAACCUUGCCUGGAAAGGUUGGGUAAUCUUUUUAAAACGCAUCGUGAUGGGGAUAGAUUAUUGCAAUUAUUAAUCUUCAACGAGGAAUUCCUAGUAAGCGCGAGUCAUCAGCUUGCAUUGAUUACGUCCCUGCCCUUUGUACACACCGCCCGUCGCACCUACCGAUUGAAUGGUCCGGUGAAAUCUCGGGACGGCGGCUUGGUCGCUUGCGUCCGACUGCUGAAACUUGAUUAAACCAUAUCAUUUAGAGGAAGGUGAAGUCGUAACA